rnacentral:rRNA from 1 species
AGCAUAUCAAUAAGCGGAGGAAAAGAAACCAACAGGGAUUGCCCCAGUAACGGCGAAGUGAAGCGGCAACAGCUUCAAAUUUGAAAUCUGGCCCCCAGGGCCCGAGUUGUAAUUUGUAGAGGAUGCUUUUGGCGAGGCGCCUUCCGAGUUCCCUGGAACGGGACGCCAUAGAGGGUGAGAGCCCCGUCUGGUCGGACGCCUAGCCUCUGUAAAGCUCCUUCGACGAGUCGAGUAGUUUGGGAAUGCUGCUCUAAAUGGGAGGUAUAUGUCUUCUAAAGCUAAAUACCGGCCAGAGACCGAUAGCGCACAAGUAGAGUGAUCGAAAGAUGAAAAGCACUUUGAAAAGAGGGUUAAACAGUACGUGAAAUUGUUGAAAGGGAAGCGCUUGUGACCAGACUUGGGCCCGGUUGAUCAUCCAGCGUUCUCGCUGGUGCACUCUGCCGGCCCAGGCCAGCAUCAGUUCGCGCCGGGGGACAAAGGCUUCGGGAACGUGGCUCCCUCGGGAGUGUUAUAGCCCGCUGCGUAAUACCCUGGUGCGGACUGAGGCCCGCGCUCCGCAAGGAUGCUGGCGUAAUGGUCAUCAGCGACCCGUCUUGAAACACGGACCAAGGAGUCGUCUUCGUAUGCGAGUGUUCGGGUGUCAAACCCCUACGCGUAAUGAAAGUGAACGCAGGUGAGAGCUUCGGCGCAUCAUCGACCGAUCCUGAUGUUCUCGGAUGGAUUUGAGUAAGAGCAUACGGGGCCGGACCCGAAAGAAGGUGAACUAUGCCUGUAUAGGGUGAAGCCAGAGGAAACUCUGGUGGAGGCUCGCAGCGGUUUCUGACGUGCAAAUCGAUCGUCAAAUAAUGGGCAUGGGGGGCGAAAGACUAAUCGAACCUUCUAGUAGCUGGUUUCCGCCGA